AUAUUUACUUGGCAGGGUAGAUAACAUGAUCAUGAAAGUGGUUUUCCUAGGGUAGGGCUUAUCUCUCGAUAUGCUGACCCCUGCAGUAUCCCCAAACAUGGGAAACUCAACUGCAUAAUUUUUGGUAGUAGGGCAUUGCAUUCACUAC
rnacentral:snRNA from 1 species